UGGGUAUCAGUUGUGUUCUUGUCUGUGUCACUUUUGCUUUUGAUUUCAUUUAAUAUUACACCACAAACGUUUCCCCAGAUGACUCUUGAAACCUGAAUUCUUAACUGAUGGGAUGAAACUUUUUACACAUAUGAUAUAUUUUGAAGUGAAAUGUGCCAGAAAGAAGACAUGGAAUUUCUAAAGGCAAUCAUAUAAACUAUGGUUUACUCUCCAACUACAAUGGAGCUCCAGGAACCAGGUGGUGACAAAGAAGAAAUUGGGCACAAGGAUAUCACUGCUGGACUGGAUUCAUAAAUGAAAAUAUUUCUCUCAGACUGGGAUGAAUCUAUGUAUCCAGGUCUUGUUAUCAAGUCUUGUUCAAGGCAAAGAAAAUCCGGUGGAAGAAGUUUCUGAGGC